rnacentral:rRNA from 1 species
CUCGUAGGCGGCCAACUAAGUCAGACGUGAAAUCCCUCGGCUUAACCGGGGAACUGCGUCUGAUACUGGAUGGCUUGAGAUUGGGAGAGGGAUGCGGAAUUCCAGGUGUAGCGGUGAAAUGCGUAGAUAUCUGGAGGAACACCGGUGGCGAAGGCGGCAUCCUGGACCAACACUGACGCUGAGGAGCGAAAGGCCAGGGAAGGCAAACG